AUGAGAUCAAAGGAGGUGGAUGGGGGCUGCCGAAGGAUCUCUCUCCUCGAAAAUACUUCCUGUUUGCCUACAGGACAGCAAACAUUUCCCGCCGCGUACCGGGAUUUGCCGUCAUUGACGACUCAGCGAGCGAACCACGCACUCUCUUUCCUGGGAAAGGGGAAAGUCUCUCCCAGUGUCCCCUUGCCCCACGGGCGGGCUGCGGAAGGUGCGCGGGAUCCCGCCCAGUGGUAUUACACACCAUUUGAAGAGUUUAAAGAAGCAACUGUUGAUAUUUCCCCAUAAGGGACCAAAGAAAUGACGAAGAAAAAGUUUGAAACUGUAAUCUUGGGUAAAUCAUAGACAAAUGAAAUGAACAGCUGUGGUUAGGGUGGGAUGGGAUUCAUCAUGCUUGCAAGGUUUUAUGAACGCUAUUUUUUUCCUUAAUCAUAACCUUAGGGGUGGGAGGGAUUUAGAGCAGGGCAUGCAUUAAGGUUGGAAUGUCAAACUUGACUUUGAAUUUCCUGGCUUUUUAUCAGCAUGCAUGAAAAAGUGUAAUGUUAUUCAAACAUAGCUUCUUUAAUCUUGAUUUUGUUAUAUAAAUAUUUUUUGUUGAAAUGGAAUAUAAUAAAAUAUCUAUUCUUUACCUAGAAGUCUAGAUU
rnacentral:lncRNA from 1 species